GCUGUCUUCGGCACUGUCCGGCUACCUACAGACGUGCCUCCUGGGGACCUCCGGGACCUGCUCAACGUGUUGCUCUGUGCGGAGACAAAGCUGAUCUUGUCACUGCUAUUAUUGCCUGUGUUGAAUAGAUUAAAGGGAACUUGGGCUGUGCUGUGGCUUGGUUUCGCUGUGUGGACACGCUGCUCAGGCCAAGAGCUCCUCUCCCUUCCACUGCUGCCAGCCCCAAGACGUGCUUUGUGCCAGCCUCGUGAGUCACGGCGUCUGCACAGCGGGUUUGAAGUCAGGAGGAGUGACUGGUGCUUAGCUUCUCUGAAGGCAGCCCCCAGCUGUGUUGUUCAGGGUGCCUUAGGAACUCAGCUGCUGGUGUAUAAGGAUGAGAGGCUGCAACAGAAAGAUCAUCUAAUGAAGGCUUUGUUCAAAGCCACGUCUCCAGCUGCGCCCUUCUUGCCAAGGUGGACUGGCAGAUUUCAGCGGUGAGAGGAGCUGAGCUUUGGCAAAGAUCAGACUGAAUCCUCGGAGGGAGCAGACAAGUUGGUGACCUAACUGGCUUGUAGCGGAAUAAAAGUUUCAUUUUAAAAUCA
rnacentral:lncRNA from 1 species